AGUGUGUGUGUGUGUGUGUGUGUGUGUGUGUGUGUGUGUGUGUGUGUGGGGGGGUGGGUGGGGGGGGGUGUGGUGUUGUGGAAGCGCGGUGGGACUUAACUUUAGAGAUGUAACAAAUCCAUAAGUAAGAAGCCUACGCUCACAAGAUUGCAGUCCAAAUAAGGAACCUAAUCUGAAAACCUCUUAACUAGGCCAACAACCCACUUGCAUGUGUGCAAAUCCCACCCAAAUGUCUCUCGACUUUUCUCAUCACUUUUCUGUUUUCUUUUAUUAUUAUUUUAAAUUGUUUUGCUUAGAAUACAAUCUCGCAAUAAUAUCAUUGCAAUUCAAAAAUCAAUUUGCUUUGUUUUUCAGUUCUCCAUGCACUAGAGAAUCGUCCCUAAAAGAACAAAAUUAGUCUUUAGGUCAGUGCUUUCGCGCACGUCGAAAUACUGGCUGGUCGUUGUUUUACUGUUGACGUUGUUUGCGUACUCUUUCCUGCUGGUUCGCAGCUUGUUCAUGCCGUUGGUGCGCUACUGUUUGCGUAUUGUUGCGCUUGCUGUUUUCCGAGAUUGCUAAUUGCUGUUUUGCUCAAUUUUCCAUCAAUAAUUAAUUCCUUAAAAUGAAAAUGUUAAAUCGAAUGGGACAUGCAUGCAUGCGAUACAUUUUAAAGAGUGAUUUUAUGGGGACCUGGGGACUUAACUCAUAAUUAUGAUGUAUAAUUAAAUUUGUGUAGUGCGUCAAGCUAAUCAAAUUAGUGCAAACUCUUCUUACUCUUUCGACAAAGAAGCAUUUGCUGAACGGAGCAGGCAAAUAAAGCUCUUUUACGAUCCGAGUUUUUUUCACUCAAAAGCUGCCUUUAAUUUUCUUUUUAUUAUUGAGAACAGCUUUUUGCCCAAUGGAAUAUAUAUUCAAAUAUUAAACUAAGGGAUAUAGGAUUUGUACAUUUUAUUAUACCAAUUAUAUUUCUAUAUAUGCUUUUAUCAAAUUUUCAUCAUCAUGUCAAUCCACAAGAGUGAAGAUUUGAUCCCGAAGGAUAUGAUCCCGUGUUUGCUAUAAUAAAUUAAUCUGUAAAUUAAUUUUGGUUUAUUUAAUCAGUUUUUUUAGUCAUGUUCCUCCAUUAUUAAUUUCAUCUGUCCGCAUGGUGAAUUUUCUAUAAGUAAUCAUGGUGGACUUUUGUUAUUUCUUACUUCGUAACUUUUUAAUUCACUUAGGCUAUGUUUGGGAGGUAAGACUAAUUGUGGGAUUAGACUAACUUUAAAAUUAAAUAUUUAUCCUAAUAUUUGGCAAAUUUUUUAGGACUGAAUUAAGGGGACUAAAUUCAAUCACAAUUCAUAAGAUUAGCAAUCACAAUUUAUAAGUGGGCUUAGAUGGGAUUAGAAUAAGAGAA
rnacentral:lncRNA from 1 species